rnacentral:rRNA from 1 species
AUUGAACGCUGGCGGCAUGCCUUACACAUGCAAGUCGAACGGUAACGGGCCUUCGGGUGCUGCCGAGGUGGCGAAGGGUGGGUAAUACAGCGGAACAUGUCCGAUCGACGGUGAGAACGCGUCGGAAGCCUUGCUAAAACCGCGUAUGAUCUCCGGAUGAGAGCGGGGGACGGCAAGGACUUUCGCGGGCGGAGCGGCCUAUGGCAGCUUAGGUAGUUGGUGGGAUAAAAGCGUACCAAGACGACGAUCUGUGGCUGGCCUGAGAGGAUGAUCAGCCACACUGGGACUGAGACACGGCCCAGAGUCCUAAGGGAGGCAGCAGUGGGGAAUGUUGGACAAUGGGCGCAAGCCUGAUACAGCGAUGCGGCGUGCAGGAUGAAGGCCUUGGGGUUGUAAAGUGGUUCUGUACGGUGCGAAAAGCUUUCUUUUAAGACGGGGCGUUCAUGACGGUACCGGAUGAAUAAGCACCGGCUAACUACGUG